rnacentral:rRNA from 1 species
AGAGUUUUGAUCCUGGCUCAGAUUGAACGCUGGCGGCAUGCCUUACACAUGUCAAGUCGAACGGUAACGGGUCUUCGGGUGCCGACGAGUGGCGAACGGGUGAGUAAUGCAUCGGAACGUACCUUUCAGUGGGGGAUAACGUAGCGAAAGUUACGCUAAUACCGCAUAUUCUGUGAGCAGGAAAGCAGGGGAUCGCAAGACCUUGCGCUGAUUGAGCGGCCGAUGUCAGAUUAGCUAGUUGGUGAGGUAAAGGCUCACCAAGGCGACGAUCUGUAGCGGGUCUGAGAGGAUGAUCCGCCACACUGGAACUGAGACACGGUCCAGACUCCUACGGGAGGCAGCAGUGGGGAAUUUUGGACAAUGGGGGCAACCCUGAUCCAGCCAUGCCGCGUGAGUGAAGAAGGCCUUCGGGUUGUAAAGCUCUUUCGGCCGGGAAGAAAUCGUAUGGGUUAAUACCCUGUGCGGAUGACGGUACCGGCAUAAGAAGCACCGGCUAACUACGUG